CGGGUGAGUAACGCGUGGGUAACCUGCCUCAUACAGGGGAUAACAGUUAGAAAUGACUGCUAAUACCGCAUAAGCACACAGUACCGCAUGGUACAGUGUGAAAAACUCCGGUGGUAUGAGAUGGACCUGCGUCUGAUUAGCUAGUUGGCGGGGUAACGGCCCACCAAGGCGACGAUCAGUAGCCGACCUGAGAGGGUGACCGGCCACAUUGGGACUGAGACACGGCCCAA
rnacentral:rRNA from 1 species